AAGCACUCAUGGUCGUGAGGCAGUGUGGUUAGCUGGUUGCAUACACAGGUUGACAACGGCUACCUUCACUGCCACCCCGAACAUGUAGUCCUC
rnacentral:pre_miRNA from 1 species